AAUAAGUGAACAUAUAUCAAGUUAAUAUGCUCACAUAAACACAGGGAAGAGGUUGUAUAAAAAAGGCAGCUCAUAUUUUAAGCCAUUAUAUUUCAUAUGUUCUCCAGUCCUUUCUUACACCUAUUUGAGUGGACCGCUCACUUUAUUCUUUGUUGCAGACUGGGAUUAUCAGUUAUAACCCUGAUCGUUGCACAGUUACUUGUGCGAAAGGUUGGACAAAGCGCAAGGUUGAGAACAACUGGGAGCAGAAAAAGAAAAAAGGCCGUGUGGGAGUAGCUGUCAAACGACCUGGAUAUAACUUCAGGCCUUGAACACUGCUCUUCAGCCAACAAUUGUGCCUAAAACAGAAUAUAAUUUUCUCUUGGUAGUGGUGAGGCUUCUCCUUCAGAGACAUUGGCUUAUGUGAAGGAGAGGUCUAUUGAAAAUAGUUUAUGCAGAAUACUGCUCCUGCAUGCUCUUUUUGGUUGGUAUUUGCCGCGUUUGCAACUGUAAAAUGCCUAACAUUAACAAGACGUUAUUUCGAUGGAUAGUGUUUUAAAGCAAAAGUUCUUUGGCAUGUGUUUUGAUGAUUGUUGAUUACGUCUUAAUUCUUAAAUUUCACUAUUUGCAAGAAAUCAUGGGCUUUAUCCUGUCUGAAAUUAAUAGAUCUUCCACUGCUAGAAGACAUUCCUCGUAUGAAUAUAUGAUUCACAUUGUGGCAAAGUCUGAACAAUUAACUAUGGGCAAAAUGGGUGUCUAAAAGUUUCUUGAUUGACCUUCAGAUUGAAUUGAGGUCCACCCCUAACCCCACUUCAUCUUUACAAGUCCGUGGACCCCUGUGUGUCUGUGUGGGGGGGGGGUGUCAGAAACAAGCCCUUGUCUUUUAAUCUGUCGUCAAUUUUCUAUUUCUAAAUUUGUCCAACUUGAUCAAAACAUUUUGAUCUGCUGUCGAAGGAGCUAUGAAUGAUGCCUUCUGGGAUAUCAAGGAUCAAAUGACUGUUAGAUGUACACGCUGCUAAAUAUAUCACCUGAUUUCAAGUAUGAAAUUGGAGUAUAAAUCCAUUGAGAGGUGAUAAUUGGCAUGAUUACAAGAAUAUUGCUGUUUUUUUUCUCUGUUUUAAACCAACGUCGAUUUUUAGAAAAUUUAAUUCGCAUGAUGCUAAUUAUACUUAGUUUUUAAAACUGAAUGCAGCAGAAGUCGAUCUCCUGGAAAUGGACUUCUCUACUACUUUCGUUUUUUUUCCCCCUUCUUCUUCUUUUUCAGCCCCAACUUAGUCAAAUGCAGCCAAUGGCUUGAAAUCUCAGUCACGAGUCCAAUUUUAAUGGUCAUGAGAUCUUCACAACACUCUACUCUACCAAAGAUUCCACGGUUUUAUUGAGGGAAGAAAAAGUUAACUCACACUGGCAACAAUGCUGGUGGGAAUAAGUCUUGCCGUCAAUUGGAGCAGGUCUACGUAUUAGGCUACUGCUUUUCUUUGAUCCUUUUCCCUUGAUGCUAUUGCUUUUACUGGAUAGAGUUUGUAGAGUGUAAUAGCCUGUCUAGUAAUAGCCAGUAGUUUUCUAAACUCAAAUAUGACUGUGUCUAAUUAAAAUAGUUAUGUUGUAACUAUUCAACAAGUAUUGUUUUUAUGUUUUUCCCCAAUAAAGAUUUGUUCUUGAAAAAGAUAGUUAGCAGUUGAUUAGUAAAAAAAAAAAUUACAUGUUUUUUCUAUUGGUUUUUCUUUUUUCCUUCCCUUAAAUUAAACUUCAAAAGGAACUUAGCACGAAUUUGAAGUGCAAGCAAGAGCAAAACAAGAAUAUUUGACACAACUUUUAACUACAAAGAAUAAGAAUAAACGUACUCUUUCUUAGAAUACUCGGUUUAUGCCAUUGAAAAAUUCUUAGUCAUUAUUUGAGGAUAUGAGAUGCCGACACCUUUUGAAAUUGGAAGGUCAUUGCUAAAUAUGAUGUCCUGUCUUACUUUUAUUUUUUAGAAUCGAUUAAGAUGCUUCGUCCAAUUUGAUGCUUUAAUGAAGGAAUUGAACUUUGUGCAAAAAGUCACCCUACCGAUGCUACAGGAAAUGAUCACCAGGUGGCGUAAUUUUACAAGAACUUCCUAUUCCACCCAAAUCAGUCUGUGAUACGUCCUUGUGAAUGUCCUAGAAACAUAACAGAACGCACAAAAUUCUCCUAGAAAGAAACCAAGAUAUAUUGAACAAUGUACUUUGAAAGAAUAGGAAAAGAAGCAAAGAAAAGGAGAAAAAUAAAAGAAAUAAAAAACAUGAAAGAACAAAAAAGCAUCUUAGCCUGAUAAGCAAGGAAUAAAAGAACCAAAGCACUUGACACACAUUAGCAUAAAGCGCCGUUUCUGUUCUCAUCCCCAACCAUGUUCUUUCCUUGGAGCAAAAUGGCUAACAAAUUCCCCAUCUGUUCUGUCUGCACUUCUUGGGUGCAGGAGCCAAAACCUGAGGAUCAUCUUGGGUUGCCAUUGGAACCAUCCAAACCUGAACAUGGUUCGCAUUCUCACGUUCCCACUAUUAAUCUCCUCCACUAUGCAUGUGCUUUCCUCAUUACUCCUUCAUUUAUUUAAUCUCUACUACCAUUUCCUUCUCCUUUCCAUUGACUUCUCAAGAUUUUAGAUAAGUUUCCACGAACAUAUUUUUGUAACCAUGAUUGUUGCAUACAGGGCUUACAAAAAUAAAGCUAGCCAUGGAAAAUGGCAUUUGUAUUGCUUGCGCAUUUAGCUCAUAUUCAUUUCUGUAUGAUCUUUGUAGAAGGAUGUAAAUCAACCUAACAUCAUGAACUGUGAGCUUCAACGUCAUAGCAAGACUUUAUAGUUUGACAGAGUUUUUACUGCUGGCAGAUUAUGGUAUGUACAAGAAGCUGUUGCACCAGUAUGCCCAAAAAUCUGGAUUACCACUUCCAGUUUAUAAAAUUGAGAAUGAAGGGUUCCCACAUGCGCCUAAGUUCAGAUCAUCUGUCUUCAUAGAUGAAACCAAGUUCACAUCUAAGUUUACCUUUCCAGAUCGAAGAGCAGCUGAGCAAGAUGUCGCAAAGCUUGCAUAUGAAACCAUAGUUAAAGACAAUAAAACCCUAACAGGAGGCCCUCAUAUUUAUCAGGUGCAUCAAAUAUUUACAUGGCUGCAUUUCAUUCACCUUUUGUAGAACGUUCACUUUUCAAAAUACCAAUUUAUGUUUAUGUCAUGUCUACGGAAAUUGUGCAAUAUAUCAUUUUCAGAUGACACCUUGUGCUUUCCUUCUCUCACCUGUUUUUUUCUUAAGAACCUAAGGUUUUGCAAGUUAAUACUGUCUGAAUAUGCAACCAAGACUGGCCUUGGAGUUCCCGAAUACAACACCACCUUAGCAGAAGGGACACCACACCCAGUAUUCGUCUCUUCUUUUGUUCUUGGUGGCAAAAGUUAUACUGGUCAAGUAGGUCGAAGCAGGAAAGAGGCGGAACAGCUGGUGGCACAACUGGCCAUCCAAUCGCUCCUUGGUACAGUCAUAAACUUCUAUUCUGCUUUGUCGAAUUAAGUUUCUACCAGUAAUGCUCCUUCAAUUUAUCCUACUUCGAAACUGCCUCUCAAGGAUCGGAUUCGGGGAAGCUCACUGAAAUUAUCAAGAGCAAAGAGAGACUUUUCGCUACUGUAGAUGCUAAAAAGAACUCUGGAACUCUGGAAAUUACUGUCGAGUAAUGCAGGUCUGUUAUCCGUUAAUCAUACAUGUGACAUAAAACUUAAUUCUGGAAACUAAUAAUUAUGGUACUAAAGUUUGUAUUAUAUUCUCAUUGUCAGGAAAUUUGUCACAACAGCAAGCUAGCAUUCUGGUAACAAUUCACCUUGUAUCUCUAAUAAAAAUCAUACCCUUCAAGGAUGAUGGAAUAAGUGAACAUAUAUCAAGUUAAUAUGCUCACAUAAACACAGGGAAGAGGUUGUAUAGAAAAAAGCAGCUCAUAUUUUAAGCCAUUACAUUUCAUAUGUUCUCCAGUCCUUUCUUACACCUAUUUGAGUGGACCACUCACUUUAUUCUUUGUUGCAGACUGGGAUUAUCAGUUAUAACCCUGAUAGUUGCACAGUUACUUGUGCGAAAGGUUGGACAAAGCGCAAGGUUGAGAACAACUGGG
rnacentral:lncRNA from 1 species